CACCCUCUGAGCGCUGAGGUCCCAUGCUGUUGUAAGCCUUGCUGCUGCUUGGUAUGGAGAAGACUUCCAUCACUGAUUUGACUACUUCAGGAUUGUUUUCAUGCUCUCUCUGGCAAGCUGCAGCUCUUGCACAGAAACCUAUCAGUCAAAUGACUUUAUCUGGGAGCAGACGACGUCUUGGUACAGCAAAACUUGUAAGCGUUUGUUUAGGUCCAUGCCUACUUGUGACAGUCAAGCCAAGAGUUUUGUAACUUGUGAAGCAAAGAAGUUAUUCUACAUUGUGGACCAAGCACCACACGGGGAAACAAGACACUGGAAGCUUUGA
rnacentral:lncRNA from 1 species